UGGGGAAUUUUGGACAAUGGGCGAAAGCCUGAUCCAGCAAUGCCGCGUGUGUGAAGAAGGCCUUCGGGUUGUAAAGCACUUUUGUCCGGAAAGAAAUCCUCUGGGUUAAUACCUCGGGGGGAUGACGGUACCGGAAGAAUAAGCACCGGCUAACUACGUGCCAGCAGCCGCGGUAAUACGUAGGGUGCAAGCGUUAAUCGGAAUUACUGGGCGUAAAGCGUGCGCAGGCGGUUUUGUAAGACGGAUGUGAAAUCCCCGGGCUCAACCUGGGAACUGCAUUGGUGACUGGCAGGCUAGAGUAUGGCAGAGGGGGGUUAGAAUUCCACGUGUAGCAGUGAAAUGCGUAGAGAUGUGGAGGAAUACCGAUGGCGAAGGCAGCCCCCUGGGCCAAUACUGACGCUCAUGCACGAAAGCGUGGGGAGCAAACAGGAUUAGAUACCCUGGUAGUCCACGCCCUAAACGAUGUCAACUAGUUGUUGGGGAUUCAUUUCCUAGUAACGUAGCUAACGCGUGAAGUUGACCGCCC
rnacentral:rRNA from 1 species